rnacentral:rRNA from 1 species
UACGAAGGGGGCUAGCGUUGUUCGGAAUUACUGGGCGUAAAGCGCACGUAGGCGGAUCGAUCAGUCAGGGGUGAAAUCCCAGGGCUCAACCCUGGAACUGCCUUUGAUACUGUCGAUCUGGAGUAUGGAAGAGGUGAGUGGAAUUCCGAGUGUAGAGGUGAAAUUCGUAGAUAUUCGCAAGAACACCAGUGGCGAAGGCGGCUCACUGGCCCAUAACUGACGCUGAGGCACGAAAGCGUGGGGAGCAAACAGG